rfam:Gossypium arboreum cultivar AKA8401 contig_212_9, whole genome shotgun sequence.
UAAUAAUUUUUUGUUUCAUUUUUACUGUUAAAAACCGGCGUUGCUAAUAAAAUAACCAAACAAUUACAUGCGAUGUGCCAUGUAUACCUCAAUGUGAUGUACAAGGAUCAAUUUGUAAUAAUAGAAAUAGAUUAAAUUUUUAACA